GCUGGCAAUCACUAAAUAUUUGUUGCAUCUUUGCUAUAGAUGGAUGGGUGAAUGCUGAUUAAUUGUAUGAACUUAAAGAAAUCAUUUAAUAUCUUUGCCUCACUUUACCUCCUUCCCUGAUGUAAAUGGAAGGUAAUACACUACUUGUCUCUUUUGGAACACAAGGCAGUUAAGAUAAAUGGGAAGGCCAACGGCUUUACCGCUUAUUGUGAGGAAAACAUUGGAGUGUAUGGGCAAGGAGCCAUUUGAAAAUGGCAAUGACAGGCUAAUGGAGAAAGAAAGUAAUUUGUUUUAUUACCCGUGAACCUCCUGGGGACUGAGAAAGGUAGGGGGAAAUGAAAUGUACCCAUUUAUAUAAUAUUAAAAUUCAUAAAUCCAGCUUACAUUAAUUCAAAGUAGAGUAACACUUUGAUUAUCUGGCAUCAAUAGGUAUUUUGCUAAGUGUUUUGUUUUUUUAUAUAUAGUUAGUGCUCCCAUUGUAAGAAGAUUUUUUUCAAUUUGGCCAUUGUAAUGGAAAUAGUUUUCAAAUGAAUUUCAGCGCCACUUCCUCUGGCAGCACACUGAGCAGAGCCUUUUGUCACUAACUCAAGGACAUCAUUAUAGGCUUAUUAUAUUUGGGUAUAAAAUGGUGAUAAACUCUGAAAUCACAGAUGUGUAGAACUGUUAGGUUUUCUGAGCUCUCAUGUGUAUUGCAUAGGUUUUUCUCUCUUCUCUCGUUUAUUUAAUCAACAAGUAGGGCACCUGGCACCUGCAGGCCGUCUUCUGAGGACUAUACCCAAGACGAAUGUGGUCCCUGCCCUCUUGGAGCCCACAGUGUGCUGGGGAAGACUACAGUGAUCAGGCUUUGGAGCCUCACAACAACCCUCUGCAUCAGCCGCUGUUAUUAUCUCCACUGUCCAGACCAGGAACCUGAAGCCAGAGGUUUCUGUCGUUCACUGCAGGUCACGAAGAGAAUACUUAUCAGUCACCUGCUGGGUUUCCAUCACAAAGCUGGGUGCUACUGUGCAUGGGGACGGACAUGAAGAAAAUUCAGGAUGGCCUUUCAUCACUCAGCCUGUGGGUGACUCCACAUAACCAAUCAACAGAUGUUUGAAGAGUAGAAACAAGGACUUGAGAUUUGUGAGUAUGAUUUAAAGUCCCAGAGGUACCCUCAGCGUGAUUACUAUAGAAAACUGGACUUUGACUGAACUUUUCUGGCUUGAGUAUCUCCAUUCCUGCAACAUUCAAAGACCUCCCCCUUCCCACCCCAUUUUCAUCCUCAGUCUCUACCCUAGACUUUCUCAUUAAAUAAGGUAGUAAAUUUCUUUCAUUUCUUUUCUCUUCCCCUAUUUAUUUGUUUAUUGCCCUAAUCUCUCUUGAGCUCUUUUUGGUUUUGUUUUGUUUUUACUUUUUUAGAAAGAACCUAGAACAUUAUCUUCAAGAAAUUAUUUCUGUGUCCCUUCUUUUUCCUAACAAACUCCUACACAUCCUUCAGGAUCCACCCAAACAUCACCUUCCCUGUGACCUCUUCCAUGUGUCCCUCAACAGAAUUAGAAGUUACCUCCUCUGGGUUCUUAUGGCAACCUGUACACUCCUCCAAUAAAACACUUAACCGUGUUAUAUAAAGUUUUUGCAUACUUAUCUGUUCAGGUCCCUCUGUUUAAACACUUGUCCAUCUUUGAACCCCUAGUGCCUGGAUCAAGGGCUGAUGCAUUGUUUGUGUUCAAUGAAUGAGGGAA